AUACGUAGGGGGCAAGCGUUAUCCGGAUUUACUGGGUGUAAAGGGAGCGUAGACGGCAAAGCAAGUCUGAAGUGAAAGCCCCGGGCUCAACCCGGGAAUUGCUUUGGAAACUGUUUAGCUGGAGUGCAGGAGAGGUAAGCGGAAUUCCUAGUGUAGCGGUGAAAUGCGUAGAUAUUAGGAGGAACACCGGCGGCGAAGGCGGCUUACUGGACUGUAACUGACGUUGAGGCUCGAAAGCGUGGGGAGCAAACAGGAUUAGAUACCCUGGUAGUCCACGCCGUAAACGAUGAUUACUAGGUGUUGGUUGUCAUAGACAAUCGGUGCCGCAGCAAACGCAAUAAGUAAUCCACCUGGGGAGUACGUUCGCAAGAAUGAAACUCAAAGGAAUUGACGGGG
rnacentral:rRNA from 1 species